CUGAAACCUCUGCAUACUGUGAGCUGAAAUAAAUCUUUCCUCCUUUAACUUUGGGUGUUGGGUAUUUUGUCUCAGCAAUGCAAAAAGUAACUAAGAUAGAGGGUGAAGGAAAAAAUUGUUUUCCAGGUAACUUUACUUAGUUCAGCAUACAUAGUUAGGCCUUUAAGUAGUAUUUCCUGUCCUAUUCAUUUCCAUAGCUUGAUCUAAGAAUCAUUGAGCAGUAAGUGGGCUCCACUGUCUCUCUGCAUCUGAUGGCUCCAACUGUGUUCAUCAUCAGCUGCUCAUAAAAGCAUGGAAACCCUGAGGAAUUAAUGUUUUUCAGAUGCUAACCAGUGAAUGUGCCUCAAUUGUUCUCCAUGUUGGCCCCUUGAUUGUCCUCCAUGUUGGCUCCUUGAGGGCCAACCCUAACUCCCUACAAGGGAUCGAACUUGGAUCUUUGUGCUUGCGAGGCAGGCGGCAGAACCACUGAGCUAAAUCCCCAGCCCAUAUCUAAGCCAUAAAGUGAGACAAAUAAAGAAAAAAAUUAUGACCGCCAAUUAUUCCACCUUUGAUUGGAAUAGGUAAACAACUAGAGGUGGCCCUACAACGGUACAGAGGGCUUUGGUACUUACAUAGAGUGUUUGGUGUUCUUCAUACU
rnacentral:lncRNA from 1 species